GCACCACAACCCCCUCUCCUCUAUCGCCGCCUCUCUCUCUCUCUCUCUCAACCCAUCCAAAACCAAUCUCUCCCUUUCUCUCUCUGAAAAAAAUGGCAGGAACCGGAGUUGUGGCUGUCUACGGCAAUGGAACAAUAACAGAAACCAAAAAAUCCCCAUUCUCCGUUAAGGUAGGCCUAGCUCAAAUGCUCAGAGGCGGGGUCAUAAUGGACGUGGUCACCGCUGAACAAGCCCGUAUAGCCGAAGAAGCCGGAGCUUGCGCCGUCAUGGCAUUAGAACGAGUCCCCGCCGACAUCCGUGCACAAGGUGGUGUGGCACGCAUGAGCGACCCUCAGCUCAUCAAAGAAAUAAAACAAGCAGUGACCAUCCCUGUCAUGGCGAAAGCCCGAAUCGGGCAUUUCGUCGAAGCCCAAAUCCUUGAAGCGAUUGGUGUCGAUUAUGUUGACGAAUCCGAGGUUCUUACACUGGCUGAUGAAGAUAAUCACAUUAACAAACAUAACUUCCGCAUCCCUUUUGUUUGCGGAUGCCGGAAUUUGGGUGAGGCCUUGAGGAGGAUAAGGGAAGGGGCGGCAAUGAUUAGGACUAAAGGCGAGGCGGGCACGGGGAACGUUAUUGAAGCUGUUAGGCAUGUUAGGUCUGUGAUGGGGGAUAUAAGGAUGUUGAGAAAUAUGGAUGAUGAUGAGGUUUUUACCUUUGCAAAGAAGAUUGCUGCGCCUUAUGAUUUGGUUAUGCAGACAAAGCAGCUUGGGAGGUUGCCUGUUGUGCAAUUCGCGGCGGGUGGAGUGGCUACUCCUGCUGAUGCAGCGUUGAUGAUGCAGUUGGGAUGCGAUGGGGUGUUUGUAGGGUCUGGGGUUUUUAAGAGUGGGGAUCCGGUUAAGAGGGGGAGAGCUAUCGUGCAGGCUGUUACCCAUUAUAGUGAUCCUGAGCUGCUGGCUGAGGUGAGUUGUGGGCUUGGUGAGGCUAUGGUCGGGCUUAAUUUGAAUGAUAAGAAGGUGGAGAGGUUUGCUAGUCGGUCGGAUUAGGAGGGGGGGUUUGGUGGUUUGUUGGGGGUGGCUCAAGAUAAACGCCAAUGAUUGAUAUCUGUGGACAUGCUGCUGUUUUCUAUUGAAGAUUUGUUCCCUUGUCAAUUUUAAGAAAGUUAAAACCAGAAAUAUUUUCAGCUACAAAGAUGGUGGAGAGCUUUGUGAUUUUGUUUGAUUGUAUUUUCUGCAGGAGUCUUCUCUGAUGCAGCUGUGUUCAAGUCAUCCAAAAGCAGUCCACAAGCACUUGGCUACUUUGUGUAUAAUAUUUGCUGAGUGCGGAUCUUUUCAAUUACUUUUACCUUUUCUUUUCAUCCGAUACCAGGAGCACCACAGAGACAAUCCAAUAAAUGUCCCUUUCCUUGUUAGACUAUUUAUUCAUGGUUUAAUUCAACUUUUAAGGCUCCAAGAUCUUGUUUGAUCUUGAAGGUUGAUUUUUUAA